UACAGAGGGGGCGAGCGUUGUUCGGAAUUACUGGGCGUAAAGGGCGCGUAGGCGGCCUUCUAAGUCGAACGUGAAAUCCCCGGGCUCAACCCGGGAACUGCGUCCGAUACUGGAAGGCUUGAAUCCGGGAGAGGGAUGUGGAAUUCCAGGUGUAGCGGUGAAAUGCGUAGAUAUGUGGAGGAAUACCGAUGGCGAAGGCAGCCCCCUGGGAUAACACUGACGCUCAUGCACGAAAGGCGUGGGAGCAAAC
rnacentral:rRNA from 1 species